rnacentral:rRNA from 1 species
AGCGAACGCUGGCGGCAGGCCUAACACAUGCAAGUCGAACGAACCUUUCGGGGUUAGUGGCGGACGGGUGAGUAACACGUGGGAACGUGCCUUUAGGUUCGGAAUAACUCAGGGAAACUUGUGCUAAUACCGAAUGUGCCCUUCGGGGGAAAGAUUUAUCGCCUUUAGAGCGGCCCGCGUCUGAUUAGCUAGUUGGUUGAGGUAAUGGCUCACCAAGGCGACGAUCAGUAGCUGGUCUGAGAGGAUGAUCAGCCACAUUGGGACUGAGACACGGCCCAAACUCCUACGGGAGGCAGCAGUGGGGAAUCUUGCGCGAUGGGCGAAAGCCUGACGCAGCCAUGCCGCGUGAAUGAUGAAGGUCUUAGGAUUGUAAAAUUCUUUCACCGGGGACGAUAAUGACGGUACCCGGAGAAGAAGCCCCGGCUAACUUCGUG